rnacentral:tRNA from 1 species
GUUUUAGCUCAGUUGGUAGAGCACUUCCUUGGUAAGGAAGAGGUCGCUGGUUCAAAUCCAGUAA